GCGACGGAGGAAAGCAUUCCUACAAUAACAUCAUCUCCACGGGAUCAUCUGCCAAUUCACCGCGGUUUUCCAGAGCAGCCCGCUCCCGCAAUCAUCUCUACGCCCAGAAGGAAAGUGAUUCGUGAACAUCUGAUCAACAUCCCGACUGUGGCUCCAGUCUCCAAAAGUUCGUCUGCUUCAGCGGUGUCACGUUUGAACUCUGUCAUUCCUCCAGAAAAAAGACCUCUGAAUAUGGCUCUCCUCAACUUGGUGGCGGUAUGCCAGCCACCAAAUACUAAAGAAGAAGAAGAAGAAGAAUGUAUACAGCGAACAGUAGAAAAGACUCCGAACAUGACAUGUGACUGGAUUGUCCUCUGCAAAGGCUGAUGUCAUGGCUUGGAUCUUUCCCUACAUCUCCUCUAUGCUAUGGAUGACUAAUAAUAAUAAUAAUAAUAAUAAUUAAUAAUUAUUUGUUUUUGUUUUAUUUUUUACCUCUCCCACCUACCUGAAGGACUGGAUUGUCCUCUGCAAAGGCUGAUGUCCUGGCUUGGAUCUUUCCCUACAUCUCCUCUAUGUAGCGUAGUUCAGGAACCACAUCCCAUAUAAUUUUAUUGAAUAUUACUUGUGUUUUUCAGUUUGUGGUUCAUAUUGUAUUGUUUUUUCAAGUAUCAAAUGUAUUAAUGAGGUGAAAUGAACCUAGUAAAUAAAUAACAUACCAUCCUGCUGUUACCAAAUGGCACAUCACCACCAUUAUGACAUG